GACGAACGCUGGCGGCGUGCUUAACACAUGCAAGUCGAACGGAAAGGCCUGCUUUCCCUUGUGGAUUGCGGGUACUCGCGUGGCGAACGGGUGAGUAACACGUGAGUGAUCUGCCCCCAACUUGGGUAUAAGCCUGGGAAACUGGGUCUAAUUCCCGAUAGGACUGCAGGGUGGUGCCUGUGGUGGAAAACGAUUUUCUAGUGGUUGGGGAUGAGCUCGCGGCCUAUCAGCUUGUUGGUGGGGUAAUGGCCUACCAAGGCGGCGACGGGUAUCCGGCCUGAGAGGGUGGACGGCCACAUUGGGACUGAGAUACGGCCCAGACUCCUACGGGAGGCAGCAGUGGGGAAUAUUGCACAAGGGGCGGAAGCCUGAUGCAGCGACGCCGCGUGGGGGAUGACGGCCUUCGGGUUGUAAACUCCUUUCGACCGCGAGGAAGCCACCUGGUUGGAAGGGUGGUGACGGUAGUGGUAGAAGAAGCACCGGCUAACUACGUG
rnacentral:rRNA from 1 species